rnacentral:rRNA from 1 species
GACGAACGCUGGCGGCGUGCUUAACACAUGCAAGUCGAGCGGUAAGGCCCUUUCGGGGGUACACGAGCGGCGAACGGGUGAGUAACACGUGGGUGACCUGCCCUCAGCUCUGGGAUAAGCCCGGGAAACUGGGUCUAAUACCGGAUAUGACUCCAUGACGCAUGUUGUGGGGUGGAAAGCCUUGUGCGGCUGAGGAUGGGCCCGCGGCCUAUCAGCUUGUUGGUGGGGUGAUGGCCUACCAAGGCGACGACGGGUAGCCGGCCUGAGAGGCGACCGGCCACACUGGGACUGAGACACGGCCCAGACUCCUACGGGAGGCAGCAGGUGGGGAAUCUCGCGCAAUGGGACGAAAGCCUGACGCAGCGACGCCGCGUGAGGGAUGACG